rnacentral:misc_RNA from 1 species
UACCUGCAGCCCGAGUGGUGACCGUUUUUACUGGGCGUAAAGCGUGCGUAGGCGGCUUUUUAAGUCGGAUGUGAAAUCCCCGAGCUUAACUUGGGAAUUGCAUUCGAUACUGGGAAGCUAGAGUAUGGGAGAGGAUGGUAGAAUUCCAGGUGUAGCGGUGAAAUGCGUAGAGAUCUGGAGGAAUACCGAUGGCGAAGGCAGCCAUCUGGCCUAAUACUGACGCUGAGGUACGAAAGCAUGGGGAGCAAACAGG